UAACCUGGUGUGGAUCAUAUC
rnacentral:siRNA from 1 species